rnacentral:rRNA from 1 species
GACGAACGCUGGCGGCGUGCUUAACACAUGCAAGUCGAACGGAAAGGCCCUGCUUUUGUGGGGUGCUCGAGUGGCGAACGGGUGAGUAACACGUGAGUAACCUGCCCUUGACUUUGGGAUAACUUCAGGAAACUGGGGCUAAUACCGGAUAGGAGCUCCUGCUGCAUGGGGGGGGUUGAAAGUUUUCGGGGGUUGGGGAUGGACUCGCGGCUUUUCAGCUUGUUGGUGGGGUAGUGGCUUACCAAGGCUUUGACGGGUAGCCGGCCUGAGAGGGUGACCGGCCACAUUGGGACUGAGAUACGGCCCAGACUCCUACGGGAGGCAGCAGUGGGGAAUAUUGCACAAUGGGCGGAAGCCUGAUGCAGCAACGCCGCGUGCGGGAUGACGGCCUUCGGGUUGUAAACCGCUUUCGCCUGUGACGAAGCGUGAGUGACGGUAAUGGGUAAAGAAGCACCGGCUAACUACGUG